rnacentral:lncRNA from 1 species
AAGCAUAAUUAAAAUGCUAAAUUACUAAACUCAAGUAUACACGAUGUCAUGGUGAUGUACAUCUACGAUAUCAUAAUAGUAUGUCCAAUGGCAAUAGUUAAAUGUCAUUAACCUUUAUCAACACGUGAUGCAUAAGUUCUGUCAUGGCAAACAAGUAUGCUUUAAUGCAAUAAAAGACUAUCAAGUAUACUACAUGUCUCAACACUAUGCUAAAAGCAUAUAAAUGUAAUUCAACUACUAAACCUAUCUAGUAGUGAUUAUCCAUUCCUGGUUCAAUGUCAUAAUCAAACAUGUUUUAGGAUCUACAUAAUGUAAUCCAGCUUGUGCCGCCUAAGUGUCGGUGGUAGCCCCAACAUUCCCACUCUAGGAAUGAGUCUAUCCCUCCCGACCCCGUAGGCUUCUCGAUACCGCACGGCGAACAUAGGUCGCGUAGGCUAACUCCGGAGUGCCGGCUUGUAGGGAGCGACCCUCACAAGCAUGUGCGAAUGAGCACAAAUGGCAAGCAAGCAUAGUCCAAGUCUUAAGUAUCCAAUCCUCAUGUCUCUAACAUGGUAUAGUCACUAGCAUCCCGAAGAUCUAGUUUAAGUCACAAUGUGAAGUUUCAACAUUUGCUACGCCUAGUGCCCCUUGAUGACACUUAGGCAAUUUGAUGUUCAACAUGUAUUCCAAAUCCCUCAAUGGCCCUAUCCACUAGGUUCACACAUGUCCUGAGCUCAAUGCCGCUUGAUGACAUUAGCUCUCUAAUUCACAUGAUAUUCCAAUUCGGUGCCACUAUAUGGCAAUCUUGUUAUCUCUCAUGUCUCAAUUAAAC